rnacentral:rRNA from 1 species
GACGAACGCUGGCGGCGUGCUUAACACAUGCAAGUCGAACGGUGAAGCGCCUUCCUUUUUGGUGGGUGUGGAUGAGUGGCGAACGGGUGAGUAACACGUGAGUAACCUGCCCCCUUCUUCUGGAUAACCGCAUGAAAGUGUGGCUAAUACGGGAUAUUCUGGGUCUGUCGCAUGAUGGGUCUGGGAAAGAUAUUGUUUCGGUGGGGGAUGGGCUCGCGGCCUAUCAGCUUGUUGGUGGGGUGAUGGCCUACCAAGGCGGUGACGGGUAGCCGGCCUGGGAGGGUGGACGGUCACAAUGGGACUGAGACACGGCCCAGACUCCUACGGGAGGCAGCAGUGGGGAAUAGUGCACAAUGGGCGCAAGACUGAUGCAGCGACGCCGCGUGAGGGAUGGAGGCCUUCGGGUUGUGAACCUCUUUCGCCAGUGAAGCAGGCCUGCCUCGUUUGUGGGUGGGUUGACGGUAGCUGGAUAAGAAGCGCCGGCUAACUACGUG